rnacentral:snRNA from 1 species
AUGCUCACUUUGGCAGCACAUACACUAAAAUUGGAAUGAUACAGAGAAGAUUAACAUGGCCCCUGUGCAUGACAGAUAAAUUUGUAAAGUGUUCCAUAAUUUU